rnacentral:rRNA from 1 species
UACGUAGGUGGCAAGCGUUGUCCGGAUUUACUGGGCGUAAAGCGUAUGCAGGCGGGUUUUUAAGUAGGAAGUGAAAGGUUGGAGCUCAACUCUAACACUGCUCCCUAUACUGGGAUUCUUGAGUGCCGGAGAGGAAGACGGAACGACACGUGUAGCGGUGAAAUGCGUUGAGAUGUGUCGGAACACCAAUGGCGAAAGCAGUCUUCUGGACGGAUACUGACGCUGAGAUACGAAAGCCAAGGUAGCAAACAGG